GCUUUCGGGCUGAGUAGAGCGGCGGACGGGUGAGUAACGCGUAGGAAUCUACCUGGUAGUGGGGGACAACUUGGGGAAACUCAAGCUAAUACCGCAUACGCCCUAAGGGGGAAAGCGGGGGACCUUCGGGCCUCGCGCUAUCGGAUGAGCCUGCGUAGGAUUAGCUAGUUGGUGGGGUAAAGGCCCACCAAGGCGACGAUCCUUAGCUGGUCUGAGAGGAUGAUCAGCCACACUGGAACUGAGACACGGUCCAGACUCCUACGGGAGGCAGCAGUGGGGAAUAUUGCGCAAUGGGCGAAAGCCUGACGCAGCCAUGCCGCGUGUGUGAAGAAGGCCUUAGGGUUGUAAAGCACUUUCAAUUGGGAAGAAAAGUUUGUCGUUAAUAGCGCCAAGCUCUGACAUUACCUUUAGAAGAAGCACCGGCUAACUCCGUGCCAGCAGCCGCGGUAAUACGGAGGGUGCGAGCGUUAAUCGGAAUUACUGGGCGUAAAGCGCGCGUAGGCGGUUUGUUAAGUCAGCUGUGAAAGCCCCGGGCUCAACCUG
rnacentral:rRNA from 1 species